UUUCCGAAGCAAUACGGGGAUGGGCGCACGGCGCACGGGUGCGUAACACGUGGGUAAUCUGCCCUCCGAUGGGGAAUACCCCCGCGAAAGCGGGACUAAUUCCGCAUAACAUUCCUUGGAUUAACUUUCGAGGAUUCAAAGCAGCAAUGCGUCGGAGGAGGAGCCCGCGCCCGAUUAGCUAGUUGGUGAGGUAACGGCUCACCAAGGCAAUGAUCGGUAGCUGGUCUGAGAGGAUGGCCAGCCACACUGGAACUGAGACACGGUCCAGACUCCUACGGGAGGCAGCAGUGGGGAAUCUUGCACAAUGGGCGAAAGCCUGAUGCAGCGACGCCGCGUGGGGGAUGAAGCUUUUCGGAGUGUAAACCCCUUUCGACUGGGACGAAUGCCUCGCAAGAGGAGUGACGGUACCAGUAUAAGAAGCCCCGGCUAACUACGUGCCAGCAGCCGCGGUAAGACGUAGGGGGCCAGCGUUGUUCGGAAUUACUGGGUGUAAAGGGUUCGUAGGCGGUGUGGCAAGUCGGGAGUGAAAUCUCUGGGCUCAACCCAGAGACUGCUUCCGAAACUGCUGUGCUUGAGUGUGAGAGAGGCUCGUGGAAUUGCAGGUGUAGCGGUGAAAUGCGUAGAUAUCUGCAGGAACACCCGUGGCGAAAGCGGCGAGCUGGAUCACUACUGACGCUGAGGAACGAAAGCUAGGGGAGCAAACAGGAUUAGAUACCCUGGUAGUCCUAGCCCUAAACGAUCAGGACUUGGGGUGCCGCCCGUUCGGGCGUCGUCCCGGAGCUAACGCGUUAAGUCCUGCACCUGGGGAGUACGGUCGCAAGACUGAAACUC
rnacentral:rRNA from 1 species